GAUGAAGAACGUAGCGAAAUGCGAUAAGUAAUGUGAAUUGCAGAAUUCAGUGAAUCAUCGAAUCUUUGAACGCACAUUGCGCCCGCCAGUAUUCUGGCGGGCAUGCCUGUCUGAGCGUCAUUUCAACCCUCAUGCCCCUAGGGCGUGGUGUUGGGGAUCGGCCAAAGCCCGCGAGGGACGGCCGGCCCCUAAAUCUAGUGGCGGACCCGUCGUGGCCUCCUCUGCGAAGUAGUGAUAUUCCGCAUCGGAGAGCGAUGAGCCCCUGCCGUUAAACCCCCAACUUUCCAAGGUUGACCUCACAUCAGGUAGGAAUACCCGCUGAACUUAAGCAUAUCAAUAAGCGGAGGA
rnacentral:misc_RNA from 1 species